rnacentral:rRNA from 1 species
AGUGAACGCUGGCGGUAGGCCUAACACAUGCAAGUCGAACGGCAGCACAGUAAGAGCUUGCUCUUACGGGUGGCGAGUGGCGGACGGGUGAGGAAUACAUCGGAAUCUACCUUUUCGUGGGGGAUAACGUAGGGAAACUUACGCUAAUACCGCAUACGACCUACGGGUGAAAGCAGGGGAUCUUCGGACCUUGCGCGAUUGAAUGAGCCGAUGUCGGAUUAGCUAGUUGGCGGGGUAAAGGCCCACCAAGGCGACGAUCCGUAGCUGGUCUGAGAGGAUGAUCAGCCACACUGGAACUGAGACACGGUCCAGACUCCUACGGGAGGCAGCAGUGGGGAAUAUUGGACAAUGGGCGCAAGCCCGAUCCAGCAUACCGCGUGGGUGAAGAAGGCCUUCGGGUUGUAAAGCCCUUUUGUUGGGAAAGAAAAGCAGCAGGUUAAUACCCCGCUGUUCUGACGGUACCCAAAGAAUAAGCACCGGCUAACUUCGUG